rnacentral:misc_RNA from 1 species
GAUGAAGAACGUAGCGAAAUGCGAUAAGUAAUGUGAAUUGCAGAAUUCAGUGAAUCAUCGAAUCUUUGAGCGCACAUUGCGCCCGUCAGUAUUCUGGCGGGCAUGCCUGUUCGAGCGUCAUUACGCCCCUCAAGUCCCCUGUGGACUUGGUGUUGGGGAUCGGCGAGGCUGGUUUUCCAGCACAGCCGUCCCUUAAAUUAAUUGGCGGUCUCGCCGUGGCCCUCCUCUGCGCAGUAGUAAAACACUCGCAACAGGAGCCCGGCGCGGUCCACUGCCGUAAAACCCCCCAACUUUUUAUAGUUGACCUCGAAUCAGGUAGGACUACCCGCUGAACUUAAGCAUAUCAAUAAGCGGAGGA